rnacentral:rRNA from 1 species
GACGAACGCUGGCGGCGUGCUUAACACAUGCAAGUCGAACGGAAAGGCCCUGCUUUUGUGGGGUGCUCGAGUGGCGAACGGGUGAGUAACACGUGAGUAACCUGCCCUUGACUUUGGGAUAACUUCAGGAAACUGGGGCUAAUACCGGAUAGGAGCUCCUGCUGCAUGGUGUGGGUUGGAAAGUUUCGGCGGUUGGGGAUGGACUCGCGGCUUAUCAGCUUGUUGGUGGGGUAGUGGCUUACCAAGGCUUUGACGGGUAGCCGGCCUGAGAGGGUGACCGGCCACAGUGGGACUGAGAUACGGCCCAGACUCCUACGGGAGGCAGCAGUGGAGAAUAUUGCACAAUGGGCGGAAGCAUGAUGCAGCAACGCCGCGUGCGGGAUGAAGGACGUAGGGUUGUAAACCGCGUUCGCAUGUGAAGAAGAGUGAGUAAUGGUAAAGGGUAAAGAAGCACAGGCUAAAUACGUG